GUUGUGGAGCGGAGCCCUCAGCUGAGGGAGCGCUCUGAAAUAAUACACCAUUGCAGCCGGGGAAAGCAGAGCGGCGCAAAAGAGCUCUCGCCGGGUCCGCCUGCUCCCUCUCCGCUUCGCUCCUCUUCUCUUCUUUACCCUUCUCCUCUCCUCCUCUGCUGCUCUCUCCUCUCCUCCGCUCUUCUCUCUCCUCUCCUGCUCUCUCCUCUUCCCUUUGCUCCUCUUCUUUUCUUCUCCUCUUCUUCCCUCUCCUCGCCUCUCCCCUGCUCCUCUUCUCUCGUCUCCCCUCCCCGCCCGCCUCUCUCUCCCCUCUCCCUCUCCCACUCGCCCCGCUCGCUCUCUCGCUGUCGCACAGACUCACCGUCCCUUGUCCAAUUAUCAUAUUCAUCACCCGCAAGAUAUCACCGUGUGUGCGCGCGCGUGUUUUCCUCUCCCUGCCGGGGGAAAAAAAGAGAGAGAGAGAGAGAGAGAGAGAUAGAGAGAGAGAGAGAGGCUCGGUCCCACUGCUCCCUGCACCGCGAGAAAAUGGUGUUAUUUAAAUGAAUCAUAAU
rnacentral:sRNA from 1 species